rnacentral:rRNA from 1 species
AACGCGUGAGAAUCUAGCUUCAGGUUCGGGACAACAGAGGGGAACCGCUGCUAAUACCGGAUGCGCCUAAGGGUAAAAGAUUAAUUGCCUGAAGAUGAGCUCGCGGCCGAUUAGCUAGUUGGUGGGGUUAUAGCCUACCAAGGCGACGAUCGGUAGCUGGUCUGAGAGGACGAUCAGCCACACUGGGACUGAGACACGGCCCAGACUCCUACGGGAGGCAGCAGUGGGGAAUUUUCCGCAAUGGGCGAAAGCCUGACGGAGCAAGACCGCGUGAGGGAGGAAGGCUCUUGGGUUGUAAACCUCUUUUAUCAGGGAAUAAUCAAUGAAGGUACCUGAGGAAUCAGCAUCGGCUAACUCCGUGCCAGCAGCCGCGGUAAUACGGAGGAUGCAAGCGUUAUCCGGAAUCAUUGGGCGUAAAGCGUCCGCAGGUGGAAGUUCAAGUCGAUUGUCAAAGGCAGUAGCUUAACUACUGACAGGCAGUGGAAACUGAAAGACUAGAGUGAGGUAGGGGUAGAGGGAAUUCCCGGUGUAGCGGUGAAAUGCGUAGAGAUCGGGAAGAACACCAGUGGCGAAAGCGCUCUGCUGGACCUUAACUGACACUGAGGGACGAAAGCUAGGGGAGCGAAUGGGAUUAGAUACCCC